UACGAAGGGGGCUAGCGUUGCUCGGAAUUACUGGGCGUAAAGGGCGCGUAGGCGGAUAGUUCAGUCGGGGGUGAAAGCCCGGGGCUCAACCUCGGAACUGCCUUCGAUACUGGCUAUCUUGAGUACGGGAGAGGUGUGUGGAACUCCGAGUGUAGAGGUGAAAUUCGUAGAUAUUCGGAAGAACACCAGUGGUGAAGGCGACACACUGGCCCGUUACUGACGCUGAGGCGCGAAAGCGUGGGGAUCAAACAGG
rnacentral:rRNA from 1 species